GCCUUUAGCUCUUUUCCUAUGUAACCCCUACCAAACAUAGAUGCACCAAAACUCGUGGAAUUUGUAAGUUCAAACCCCUAGACCUAUGUUGGUGAGCAUCUUUUUGCAGUUAUAGAAGUUAUGUUGAUAGUUAAAAAUAGGAGUUAACUACCGUCAACAAACUCCCCCAAGCUUACCUUUUGCUCGUCCCUAAGCAAAGAUAGACUUAGUGAUGAAUCAGGAGUUGCUACUAUGCUUUCAUGCCUCACAAGUACACAUGCAUUCAAACAAGGACUGUCCUCUGGAUUAGAGUAAACUAUUCUGACUCAAGACUUACCCAUAUUAUCUUUCACCAUGGGGCUUCAGUAGUUGAAAGACGAAACGGUUAAAAGACCAAACGGUUAAGUCGAGCACUAUAUUUCUCACUCUUUGAUCAACUAUUAGUUUGGAGUUUUUGCAAUAUUUUCAAAUAAAAAUCAGAGUUUCCUUGUAUGACCCUUUUAAGUCUCUCAUUUGUGGUAUUUUUGGAUCCUUACCAAGGCAUGAAUGAUGUAUGUCUUCUCUCUUCUGUUAGAAUAUGUGGUAUUUGUAAGAGUAAGGCAUAGUGAAAUUGCCUUCUCUCUCUCACCCUACUUCUAAUAGGCUUAUGUGGAGCUUAUAAGUGGGGAGACAGCUCAAACAUACUUGCAAACAUAUAUUGUAUAGUUAAACCGUGAAUCCAAAGAAACUAGUCAUACAAUCAAGUCAUAUGUGCAUGUAAGUGCAGUGAAUAAAAUGAGUGAUAAGAAUGAUGGUGAAAAUGAGGGGUGAUGACUAAUGGUGAAAAUCUAAUUCUACAUUUGCUCCUUACGAAUAUAUACCUCCCUUAUUUGGAACUCUAUAAACUUUGGAGAGUACUUGGGCUGCUCAUUUUUUUUUCUUGGGACAUUUGUCCUCUUUCUCUUCUUCUUUUCUUUUCUUUUUUAGAGAACAGCCAAGCCUCUUGAUGGAACUGUAUCAGUAGAGAGUAUUAAGUGAAGUAACUGGAGCUUUAUUGGAUGAUGGAAAAAGGAUAGGUUGGUGACAUAUAUUUUUGGUGUUCACUCCCAGUGUAGGAGCAGAACAUUUUCUGAGUGUAUGCAUGUGAAUAGAGGAAUGUGUACUCCUAGGGUGGGAGCAGCAUAGGUGCGUGUUUCCUGGGUAGAAACAGCACAAGAUGCAUGAAAUGUGUAUAUAUGUGGGUGGUACUUCCAGGAACAUAAGUAGCACAGAGUAAAUGCAGUGUAGUGACUUAUGAGGGUGUACUUCUGAGGACAGAAGCAGCAUAGAUCAAUGGAUGGAGAGCAUAUAAUAUUGAUUUUAACUGCAUGACUAAUUCCUAAGGGUCAACACAACUUAACUAUACACAAUGCCCACAAGUAGUACAUGAAAGUGGAUGACUUUCCUAAUCUAGUAAGCAUGUAUAUUUGACUGUGGUAGGAAUUUUGAACUCUCGUCAUAUAGGAACUCAUCAUGCAGCAAUUUAACAUUUUCAAGAUAAAUUCUCCAGAACUCUAGCAUCUCUAGGAACAAGAUGGGCAGCAGCUCAAAACCUUCCCAUAUCAUAUCCGUCAACUACCUAGACUUAGAUCAAGCAUUCGCUACCCACAAGUUUAAGGUUCAGAGCAAAUAUCAAAUCAAAAAAGUUAUGUCCAAAACUCCAAAGAGUUCAAGGUUGAAAACUGGGUACUUAAAAGAAAUUAUGGCAGAGCAACUAUUCAUCAUUUCCAUAUAAGAGGUUACUCAGUGGGGUUCAUUUUAACAAGCAAAUUCUUCAAAUACUCUCCUAAAUUUUAUUUAGCAAAUUUAAUGUCAAACAAAAAGAUAGAUAUAGAUAUAAAUAAAUAAGGAAAUCUUUAUUUGAGUUUUCUAUGGUUAUGCAUCUCUUUAUUUGGUUUGGGUUAACAUAGCACACUUAAUAAAAUAAAUAAGCUAGUGAUACUUAGCUGGAUAUACGGGGGUGCUCUCCCCCAAGCUGGAUGUUGACAUAGUCUAUUGGUGUUGCUGAUUGGCAGUGAAGGUGUACUGGUCCUCCUAGAGUGUUAGGGAUGAUGACUGUUGAGACAACACUCCGACUGUUGAAGACAGCACUCCGACAGGGACAGGAUGUCCUUCUGCCUGUUUGCUCUUCUUGAUCCUUUAAAUUCUGGGAAGCUCAAAUAAACAACAAAGCUUGUAGAAAUGAUUAAGUUUUAGUGUUAAAACCUCUAAGCCUUGGUUGUCUAGAACCUUCUUAAUAUAUUUAUCUUUUAGCAGGAUCAUAUAUUUUUAUACUUUUUAUAUUUAUGAUAUGU
rnacentral:lncRNA from 1 species